rnacentral:rRNA from 1 species
CCUACGGGAGGCUGCAGUGAGGAAUAUUGGUCAAUGGGCGCGAGCCUGAACCAGCCAAGUCGCGUGAGGGAAGACGGUCCUAUGGAUUGUAAACCUCUUUUGUCGGGGAGCAAAAGACGCCACGCGUGGCGUUCCGAGAGUACCCGAAGAAAAAGCAUCGGCUAACUCCGUGCCAGCCGCCGCGGUAAUACGGAGGAUGCGAGCGUUAUCCGGAUUUAUUGGGUUGAAGGGGUGCGCAGGCGGAAGAUCAAGUCAGCGGUAAAAUUGUGAGGCUCAACCUCUUCGAGCCGUUGAAACUGGUUUUCUUGAGUGAGUGAGAAGUAUGCGGAAUGCGUGGUGUAGCGGUGAAAUGCAUAGAUAUCACGCAGAACUCCGAUUGCGAAGGCAGCAUACCGGCGCUCAACUGACGCUCAUGCACGAAAGUGUGGGUAUCGAACAGGAUUAGAUACCCGGGUAGUC